rnacentral:tRNA from 1 species
CAGGGAGACAAAACUGAUUUUGAUGUCUGAAUGAAUUUAUUUCAGGCCAUAAUCCUGUCACCUUAGGUCGAUCGGUACCUCAGUUUGAUAUAACAAAAACUAAGAAAUUAGUUUCUAUAGUUAUUAAAUUCAGUUCCUAAACUUUGUCUAGGCCAAACCCAGCAAUGGUACUCCUGGGCCAUUAGCUCAGGUGGUUAGAGCGCACCCCUGAUAAGGGUGAGGUCCCUGGUUCAAGUCCAGGAUGGCCCAUUCGGUGUUGGGGGUAUAGCUCAGUUGGUAGAGCGCCUGCUUUGCAAGCAGGAUGUCAGCGGUUCGAGUCCGCUUACCUCCACUGAUCAACCUUCUGAUAACUGAGUCUAAGGAGAUUUUUGUUGUUCUGGUCUAGAAUUUUGUUCUUAAUGAAUGAACCUAGCUCCUUGUCAUUCUUACUAAAAAAAUAGUAUUUGAUUGAUAGGACGCUGGGCUCGCUGCAAUAAUUUUGCAGAGAACUUCAGUAGAACCUUGACAACUGCAUAGGUGAGUUUGAAAAGAAUAAAGCAUCUCAUGGAUGCAUUAUUCUUUUGAAUCAUGUUUAAAAUUUGAUUAAAUCAAAUUUUAUGGCAUGGUUUGAAAUUAUAAUGUUUGAUUCUUGAGCAAGAGCCGAGACUCUACAAUGAUUUUUUGAUACAUUUAAUGCAUCAAAAGUAGAUCUUUAGCUUCUCUCUUUAAACUAAAUUUUUUAGAUUUUCUAAAUUACUUAGCUUUAAAGAAGUUAUAGUUAAAGAUAUAUAGUGUCAAAACACAUUCAAUUGUAGAGAUUUAAU